GUGUUGUAUGAAAGGACAGAAGGUUAGCAUCAUCCCCUUGAAAAGGAUGGAAGGGGUCCUCGUGGCCUCACACAACACACAAAUGAUUAAGAUAUUGCCAUCUACUUGGUGGCAUCUAACCAUAUUUUUUG